ACACUGGUGGUUCAGUGGUAGAAUUCUCAUCUUCAAUGCAGGAGACCCAGGUUCUGUUUCCUGGCCAAUGCA
rnacentral:tRNA from 1 species